rnacentral:rRNA from 1 species
GUAGGGAAUAUUGCACAAUGGAGGAAACUCUGAUGCAGCGACGCCGCGUGAGUGAUGAAGGCCUUCGGGUCGUAAAGCUCUGUCGUAUGGGACUAACACAAUGAAGGUACCAUGCAAGAAAGGAUCGGCUAACUUCGUGCCAGCAGCCGCGGUAAGACGAGGGAUCCUAGCGUUGUUCGGAAUUAUUGGGCGUAAAGCGGGUGUAGGCGGAUUUAUAAGUCAGGUGUGAAAUCCCAGGGCUCAACCCUGGAAGUGCACUUGAUACUGUAAGUCUUGAGUGUGGUAGAGGCUAUUAGAAUUCUUGGUGUAGUGGUGAAAUACGUAGAUAUCAAGAGGAAUACCGGAGGCGAAGGCGGAUAGCUGGGCCAACACUGACGCUGAGACCCGAAAGCGUGGGGAUCAAACAGGAUUAGAAACCCGGGUAGUCC